rnacentral:rRNA from 1 species
UACGUAGGGGGCAAGCGUUGUCCGGAAUUAUUGGGCGUAAAGAGCGCGUAGGCGGUCCGAUAAGUCGGCUGUGAAAGUCAUGGGCUCAACCCAUGAAAGCCGGCCGAUACUGUCGGACUAGAGUCCGGAAGAGGCGAGUGGAAUUCCCGGUGUAGCGGUGAAAUGCGCAGAUAUCGGGAGGAACACCAAUGGCGAAGGCAGCUCGCUGGGACGGUACUGACGCUGAGGCGCGAAAGCUAGGGGAGCAAACAGG